AGAGUGAACGCUGGCGGCAGGCCUAAUACAUGCAAGUCGAACGGCAGCACGGCAGAGCUUGCUCUGAGGGUGGCGAGUGGCGGACGGGUGAGGAAUACAUGGGAAUCUGCCCAGUCGUGGGGGAUAACGUAGGGAAACUUACGCUAAUACCGCAUGCGCCCUUCGGGGGAAAGCCGGGGACCUUCGGGCCUGGCGCGAUUGGAUGACGCCCAUGUCGGAUUAGCUAGGUUGGCGGGGUAACG
rnacentral:rRNA from 1 species